rnacentral:misc_RNA from 1 species
GAUGAAGAACGCAGUGAAAUGCGAUAAGUAAUGUGAAUUGCAGAAUUCAGUGAAUCAUCGAAUCUUUGAACGCAUCUUGCGCUCCUUGGUAUUCUGAGGAGCAUGCCUGUUUGAGUGUCAUUAAAUUCUCAACUACACUGACUUUGAAUUGGUGUGGCUUGGAUUUGGGGGGAAAAUUGUUGUGGGCUUUUUGUAUAGUCUGCUCCCCUGAAAUUGAUUAGCGGUACCUUUGUGGAACUGUCUACAGGUGUGAUAAUUAUCUACAUCUUAGACAUCUGCUGGAAUGCUGCUUUCUAAACCUUACUUGUAUUGACAAUCUUGACCUCAAAUCAGGUAGGACUACCCGCUGAACUUAAGCAUAUCAUAAGCGGAGGA